rnacentral:lncRNA from 1 species
AAUUUUUACUUAUAAAGCGCUAGAAAAAUUGUUUAUUACAUGCAAAAAAAUAUGAAAAAUAUGGCUCAAAUUCUCAUGUUUGUUUAUGCUUCGAUGAUUAUGUUUCUUUCUCUAUUUCUCAUUGUAACUAGUGGUGGUAUGUAAUUUUUCAAACUAUUUUCAAAUUUUCUAACUUUAUUCACAAUAUUAUAUAUUCUUUAGUAAGAUUUUUUUUUUACUUGACAACACAGCUCGCAUUCCUUGCCUUACUGACGAUGAUUGUCCAAUAGCAGAUUUACCUAUUGUUAUGAAGUGCAUUGAUAAUUUUUGUCGGUUUGACCUAGUUGGGAUAUCUCCACUUCAUCCUUUGCAACUCAUUGAUUUAUGAAAAAUAUAAACUAAAAUACAAAGAGCAAAUUUAAGUGUAUUGGAUUUAAUGGUUAGUUGUAAUCGAUUUCAUAUAGAUAUGUGUUGUUGCUUUGCAGGUUGUAUUAGAUUGGUGUCUUGGACGAACGAACUGAGAAGAGAAAUUAGUUUCCUUAUAAUAAGUUUAAAAAAUAAUUUCUCCUUAGAUUUAUAGAUGUAAAUUCUAAAUAAUAUAUUUUUAAAAGUCUAAGAUUCUUUGUCAAAAAGAACUAUGACUAAAAAUAGGAGACCAAUUACAUGAGCUACUGAAUAUAGAAGACCAAAAUCAUAAUCCAGGAUUGAGUGCAGUCACAACUCACAAGUAGUCAAUGCAUGCAGUUAAGGAAGCUUUGUGACAAUCCGAUCAUAAUAAAAAAAAAAAAAAAAAA